AUGGAGGAGAGAAGUUUAAACAGAUUUCUCAAGCUUGCGAAGUUCACUCUGAUGCAAAGAAAAGGGAACUCUAUAACAAAGGAGGAGAACGGGCAAUUAAAGAGGGUGGAGCAGGUGGUGGUUUUGGCUCCCCCAUGGACAUCUUUGAUAUGUUUUUUGGAGGAGGAGGAAAGAUGCAAAGAGAAAGGAGAGGUGAAAAUGUUGUGCGUCAGCUCUUAACCUUAGAAGAUUUAUAUAAUGGCGCAACAAGAAAACUGGCUCUGCAGAAGAAUGUAAUUUGUGACAAGUGUGAAGACCGAGAUGGUAAGAAAGGAGCAGUAGAGUGCUGUCCCAAUUGCCGAGGUACUGGAAUGCAAAUAAGAAUGCAUCAGAUAGGACCUGGAAUGGUUCAACAAAUUCAAUCUGUGUGCAUGGAGUGCCAGGGCCAUGGGGAACGGAUCAGUCCUAAAGAUAGAUGUAAAAGCUGCAAUGGAAGGAAGAUAGUUCAGGAAAAGAAGAUUCUAGAAGUUCAUAUUGACAAAGGCAUGAAAGAUGGCCAGAAGAUAACAUUUCAUGGUGAAGGAGACAAAGAACCAGGACUAGAGCCAGGAGAUAUUACCAUUGUGUUAGAUCAGAAGGACCAUUCUGUUUUUACUCGACGAGGAGAAGAGCUUUUCAUGUGUAUGGACAUACAGCUGGUUGAAGCAUUAUGUGGCUUCCAAAAGCCAAUAUCUACUCUUGACAACUGAACCAUAGUCAUCACCUCUCAUCCAGGUCAAAUUGUCAAGCAUGGAGAUACCAAGUGUGUGCUAAAUGAAGGUAUGCCAAUUUAUCGUAGACCAUAUGAAAAGGGUCGCCUAAUCAUUGAAUUUAAGGUAAAUUUUCCUGAAAAUGGUUUUCUUUCCCCUGAUAAACUGUCUUUGCUGGAAAAACUCCUACCCAAGAGGAAGGAAUUAGAAGAGACUGAUGAAAUGGAUCAAGUAGAACUGGUGGACUUUAAUCCAAAUCAGGAACGACGGCGCCAUUACAAUGGAGAAGCAUAUGAGUAUGAUGAACAUCAUCCCAGAGGUAGUGUUCAGUGUCAAACCUCUUAAUGAGGCCAGUGAAUGACACUCACUGCUGGCAUUUUAUGUGCAGUAGUGAAUGAGUGAAGGACUAUAAUUAUAAUAUGCUCACUACUUGCUAUUGUGUUUCUUUUAAUAUUCAACUAUAGUAGUGUUUUAAAAGUUAAAUGAAUAAACGCAAAUAUAAAAGC